rnacentral:rRNA from 1 species
UACGGGGGGGGCAAGCGUUGUUCGGAAUUACUGGGCGUAAAGGGCUCGUAGGUGGCCAACUAAGUCAGACGUGAAAUCCCUCGGCUUAACCGGGGAACUGCGUCUGAUACUGGUUGGCUUGAGUUUGGGAGAGGGACGCGGAAUUCCAGGUGUAGCGGUGAAAUGCGUAGAUAUCUGGAGGAACACCGAUGGCGAAGGCAGGUCUCUGGGCAUUAACUGACGCUGAGGAGCGAAAGCAUGGGGAGCGAACAGG